rnacentral:rRNA from 1 species
AAUAGAUACCCGGGUAGUCCACGCCGUAAACGAUGAGUGCUAAGUGUUAGAGGGUUUCCGCCCUUUAGUGCUGCAGCUAACGCAUUAAGCACUCCGCCUGGGGAGUACGGCCGCAAGGCUGAAACUCAAAGGAAUUGACGGGGGCCCGCACAAGCGGUGGAGCAUGUGGUUUAAUUCGAAGCAACGCGAAGAACCUUACCAGGUCUUGACAUCCUCUGACAACCCUAGAGAUAGGGCUUUCCCCUUCGGGGGACAGAGUGACGGGUGGUGCAUGGUUGUCGUCAGCUCGUGUCGUGAGAUGUUGGGUUAAGUCCCGCAACGAGCGCAACCCUUGAUCUUAGUUGCCAGCAUUCAGUUGGGCACUCUAAGGUGACUGCCGGUGACAAACCGGAGGAAGGUGGGGAUGACGUCAAAUCAUCAUGCCCCUUAUGACCUGGGCUACACACGUGCUACAAUGGAUGGUACAAAGGGCUGCAAACCUGCGAAGGUAAGCGAAUCCCAUAAAGCCAUUCUCAGUUCGGAUUGCAGG